rnacentral:rRNA from 1 species
UACAUGGGGUGCAAACGUUGCUCGGAAUUAUUGGGCGUAAAGCGCGCGUAGGCGGUUACUCAAGUCGGAUGUGAAAGCCCUGGGCUCAACUCAGGAAGUGCACUCGAUACUGCGUAGCUCGAGUACCGGAGAGGUUGGUGGAAUUCUCGGUGUAGAGGUGAAAUUCGUAGAUAUCGAGAGGAACACCUGUGGCGAAGGCGGCCAACUGGACGAGUACUGACACUGAGACACGAAAGCGUGGGGAGCAAACAGG